UGGGGAAUUUUGCGCAAUGGGGGAAACCCUGACGCAGCAACGCCGCGUGGGUGAAGAAGGAUCUUGGUCCGUAAAGCCCUGUCAACGGGGACUAAGUGUCCCAUUUUAAUAGAGUGGGAUGUUGAAUGUACCCGUGGAGGAAGCCCCGGCUAACUCCGUGCCAGCAGCCGCGGUAAUACGGGGGGGGCAAGCGUUAUUCGGAAUUACUGGGCGUAAAGGGCGCGUAGGCGGCCCGGUCAGUGGGAAGUGAAAGCCCUCGGCUUAACCGAGGAACUGCUUCCCAUACUGCCAGGCUAGAGGAUGGGAGAGGAGAGUGGAAUUCCCGGUGUAGCGGUGAAAUGCGUAGAGAUCGGGAGGAACAUCAGUGGCGAAGGCGACUCUCUGGACCAUUACUGACGCUGAGGCGCGAAAGCGUGGGUAGCAAACAGG
rnacentral:rRNA from 1 species